rnacentral:rRNA from 1 species
AGCAGCCGCGGUAAUUCCAGCUCCAAUAGCGUAUAUUAAAGCUGUUGCAGUUAAAAAGCUCGUAGUUGAAUUUCGGAAUCUGUCCAUCGGUCGGGCUUCACUGUCCGUACUGGUGUGGUGGGUUCUUACCUUCUGAAUAACCAGCAUGCCAUUUAUUUGGUGCGUUGGGGAAGCAGGACUAUUACCUUGAAAAAAUUAGAGUGCUCAAAGCAGGCUAGUGCCUGAAUACAUUAGCAUGGAAUAAUAAAAUAGGACGGCAUGGUUCUAUUUUGUUGGUUUCUAGGAUCACCGUAAUGAUUAAUAGGGAUAGUUGGGGGCAUUAGUAUUCAAUUGUCAGAGGUGAAAUUCUUGGAUUUAUUGAAGACUAACUUCUGCGAAAGCAUUUGCCAAGGAUGUUUUCAUUAAUCAAGAACGAAAGUUAGGGGAUCGAAGACGAUCAGAUACCGUCGU